CCUACGGGAGGCAGCAGUGGGGAAUAUUGGACAAUGGGGGGAACCCUGAUCCAGCGACGCCGCGUGAGUGAAGAAGUAUUUCGGUAUGUAAAGCUCUAUCAGCAGGGAAGAAAGAAAUGACGGUACCUGACUAAGAAGCCCCGGCUAACUACGUGCAAGCAGCCGCGGUAAUACGUAGGGGGCGAGCGUUAUCCGGAUUUACUGGGUGUAAAGGGAGUGUAGACGGGGAAGCAAGUUUGAAGUGAAAGGCGGAGGCUCAACCCCCGGACUGCUUGGGAAACUGUAUGGCUGGAGUGCAGGAGAGGUAAGUGGAAUUCCUAGUGUAGCGGUGAAAUGCGUAGAUAUUAGGAGGAACACCAGUGGCGAAGGCGGCUUACUGGACUGUAACUGACGUUGAGGCACGAAAGCGUGGGGAGCAAACAGGAUUAGAUACCCCAGUAGUC
rnacentral:rRNA from 1 species